rnacentral:rRNA from 1 species
UAAUACGUAGGUGGCAAGCGUUGUCCGGAUUUAUUGGGUUUAAAGGGUGCGUAGGCGGUCUUUUAAGUCAGUGCUGAAAUACUCCAGCUUAACUGGAGGGGUGGCAUUGAUACUGGAAGACUCGAGUGGAGUCGAAGUAGGCGGAAUUGACGGUGUAGCGGUGAAAUGCUUAGAUAUCGUCAAGAACACCGAUAGUGAAGACAGCUUACUAGGCUUCAACUGACGCUGAGGCACGAAAGUGUGGGGAUCAAACAGGAUUAGAUACCCUGGUAGUCCACACUGUAAACGUUGAUUACUCGCUGUGUGCGAUAUACAGUACGCGGCCAAGCGAAAGCGAUAAGUAAUCCACCUGGGGAGUACGCCGGCAACGGUG